UGGCCAGACUCCUACGGGAGGCAGCAGUGAGGAAUAUUGGUCAAUGGGCGGAAGCCUGAACCAGCCAAGUCGCGUGAGGGAUUAAGGCCCUAUGGGUCGUAAACCUCUUUUGUCAGGGAGCAAUGGCGUCCACGUGUGGGCGUAUGGAGAGUACCUGAAGAAAAAGCAUCGGCUAACUCCGUGCCAGCAGCCGCGGUAAUACGGAGGAUGCGAGCGUUAUCCGGAUUUAUUGGGUUUAAAGGGUGCGUAGGCGGACGCUUAAGUCAGCGGUAAAAUUGCGGGGCUCAACCUCGUCGAGCCGUUGAAACUGGGUGCCUUGAGUGGGCGAGAAGUACGCGGAAUGCGUGGUGUAGCGGUGAAAUGCAUAGAUAUCACGCAGAACUCCGAUUGCGAAGGCAGCAUACCGGCGCCCGACUGACGCUGAGGCACGAAAGCGUGGGUAUCGAACAGGAUUAGAUACCCUUGUA
rnacentral:rRNA from 1 species